UGCAUGUCUAAGUAUAAAUAGUAUACAGUGAAACUGCGAAUGGCUCAUUAAAACAGUUAUAGUUUAUUUGAUAAUUGAAUGCUACAUGGAUAACCGUGGUAAUUCUAGAGCUAAUACAUGCUGUUAAACCUGACUUACGAAGGGUUGUAUUUAUUAGAUAUUAAACCAAUAGCCCAAAAGGCUGUUGUGAUGAUUCAUAAUAACUGAUCGAAGCGAGGCCAGCCUCGCUAAAUCAUUCAAGUUUCUGCCCUAUCAGCUUUCGAUGGUAGUGUAUUGGACUACCAUGGCAAUCACGGGUAACGGGGAAUUAGGGUUCGAUUCCGGAGAGGGAGCCUGAGAAACGGCUACCACUUCUAAGGAAGGCAGCAGGCGCGUAAAUUACCCAAUCCCGAUUCGGGGAGGUAGUGACAAGAAAUAACAACUCGGGUCCUUCGGGAUUACGAGAUUGCAAUGAGAACAAUUUAGACCACUUAGCGAGGAUCCAUUGGAGGGCAAGUCUGGU
rnacentral:rRNA from 1 species